rnacentral:rRNA from 1 species
UAGGGUAUUUUAUUAGAAAUUUCUCUUUUAUACACUUGCCUAUACUACUCUUGUGUACAUUUGCGUAUACUAGAUAAUAGAAUUAUUUCUAUUCUUAGUAUAGAAUUCGCCCGAUAAGCCCGUUCUCUAAGGUGGAAACACUGUUUUAAAACAGCAUACACCAAAACUCAAUGAACUAAAAGAUUUUAUUAAUUGAAGGAAAAGAAACCAACCGGGAUUGCGUUAGUAGUGCAGAGCGAAAGCGCAUAAGCUUAAUUAAAUAUUUUUUGUUUACAGUUGAACUUAAGUGGAAUCUGGACCAGAGAAAGUUAUAGUCUUGUAAAUUGUAAACAAAAAAGUGCUUUAUUUAUUAUAUUAUUUAUGAGCAUGUAAUAAUAAUUUAUUACAAUUACCUAUAUUAAAUAAAUAUAGUCUAUAAUAUAAUAAUUAAUGGGGCCUAACAAUAAAAUUAGUGGUUAAACGCUGCUAGUUAUUGACGGAAACCACUCCGUUGGCUAAAUAUUUUAUGUAGAUCGAUAGUGAAUCAGUACUGUAAAGGAAUUUGGAAACAAGAAUGCCAUUGCUUCUCUGAAUACAAGUCCCAAAACAGGUUGCUUAUAAUGACUUUCAGUUUGGCUGUUAUAAUGUUAAAUAGAAAGGUUCCUUUUGAAUCAUGAGCUGAUGACUUUGUGUUAGUUAAAGGCGUAUGUUAAUUGUUAUAUAAUUUCACGUGGGUCCUUUGCUUUUGAGCAAACCGUUGCAAUAGCAAAGGUGCCCUUGUAGCCUUUGCUCUCGCAAAGGCGAGAGUUAAAGAAGCCUUUUGAUUUUUGUUAUAAAGUAACGACAAUUAACGUAAGUAGCUUAAUUUAUUAAAAGUAAGCUUAUUAUGAAAGUAUUCAUAGAAAACUAACACAAAACGCGAAACGAAGUGAGCUUAAGUAGGUCAGGGGGAAGGUUACCGGAAGGUAGUUGGACGCCCGAAAUGGUAUGCGUUGCAACGCAUUCAUAUGAGCUUAUUUAAGUGGCGAAAUACCAAUCGAACUUCGAAAUAUCUCGUUUUUUGCGAAACCUUUUUAGGAAGGGGGCCUGAAAAAAUAUAUGCUAACUAGGUAGAGCGCUGUAAAACUGAUGGGAAGGAAACUUUUACUGAGGUGUUGCAAACCAUAAAUUAGGGGCAUUUUAUUAGGUACUCAGUCAGUGCGGGACAAGCUGCAUUUGACAAGAAGGAAACAGCCUAGACUAUAAAUUAAGGCCCGUAAAUUGCGCUAAGUGAGAAAGUAAUUGACUUCACAAAAAUUAGUAGGACGUUUGAUUAGUAGCAUCUACCGUUUAAAGAAAGCGUAAUAGCUCACUACUAUAGUUUAGUUGUUACGAAAAUUUAGCUGGACUAAGCGCUAUGCCGAAAUUAUAGCUAAUUGAAUCUUUUAAUGAUAAAGUCAGUUAGAGUAGCAAAACGAACCAUGUUGACAAAGUUAUGUCGGUAAGACUUAAUGAAAAUAUUGGUUGUGAAUAUAUCAGCUAGAGUAACAUAUAAAUUGAGACUUUAAAAUAAAUAAAGUGCUAUACUAAUCUUGUUUUUUUUUAUAUUUAUAUAAAACUUUAUUUAUUAAAAGAAUAGUAUCUCAAUGAUCGGAAAUCCUAGGUUUUCUACACAACUAUUAAAGAUGUAGUUAAAAAAACGGUCCCUAAGUAAUAUGAAGGAUACAAUGGGUACCUGCUAUGCCCAAUAAAAUCUAAUUUAUAGAUCUGUUGCAGGAAAAAAUAGCAGGCUUACACAAAAACUAAUUAGUUUUUGUGUGCACAAAUUAACCUUUGCUUUUGUCCCAAAGGAGGUGCGUAAACUUUGCAUACCGUACUAAAACUGACUCUGGUGGAUUAGUAGAUUUUACUAAGAUUUGGUUAUAAUCGUUCGUAAGGAACUCGGCAAAUUGCGCUGGUACUUUCGAAAACAGCGGUCUAAAAUAAACCUUUUAGAUCUCAGAUAAGAGAACUGGGUGACAGUUUACUAAAAACUUAGCGUCCUGCCAAUUUGAAACAAGACGUAUAGGAUGUGACGUUUGCUAACGGCCACUAAUUUAAGUAAUUUGUUGUAACAGGUAAAUAAACAAGAUGUGGUGACGAGCGGCCGUAACUAUAACGGUCAUAAAGUAGCGAAAUUCCUAGGCAUUUAAUUGGUGUCCUGCAUGAAUAACGUAACAACCUGGUUGCUGUCUCGCGAACGAAAACCGUGAAAUAAGAAUAUCGGUCAAAAUACCGAUUAGGCUGUCUUAGACGAUAAGACCCUUUGAAGCUUUACUGUAACCUAGCAUUGCGAUCGGUUUUUUAUCUUACAGUUAGGCGGGAGGUCCUUUGGGGGCCAACAAUGGAAAACCGCUAGGUAAUAAAUUGGUCGCUUUUAUAUAAGAAUACUUUCUAAUCAAUAAGAUAUUUAUAUAAAGCAUAUAAAAAAGAUAUUUAAAAUCAACUUUAUAUAAGUAAACCUUUAUAUAAAAGACUUUAAUUAGUAAAGCUCGAAGACAGUGUUAGGUGGGCAGUUUACUUGGGGCGAGGUCUGGCUAAAAAGUAACGCCAGAGAGCAAAAGGUAUGCUCAGUAUUGUCGGAAACAGUAUGUAGAGCGUAAUAGUAUAAGCAUGCCUGAUUAUAAGACUGACCAGUCGAAUAAGGACGAAAGUCUGCUAUAGUGACCCUCACAUGCUAGGUGGAAAGGUGUGAGAUCAACGAAUCAAAGUUACUCAAGGGAUAACAGGGUAGUCCUGGCUUAUAGUUCUUAUAGACGCCAGGGUUCGCCACCUCGAUGUUGCCUCAGGUCAUCCUGGAGCUGAACAAGGUUCCAAGGGCGCAACUGUUCUUUGCAUAAUGACCUACGUGAGGUGAGUUUAAACCGCCGUAAGGCAGGUUUGGUUCUAUCUAGAUAGCCAUAAUAUUUAACCGAGCAUUAGAAUUCCACUGUACGAAAGGACCCGGAAUUCCACGCCAAUGGUUUAGCAAUUGUUUUGAAAAAAGCAUUGUUGCAACGCUAAGCGUGAAAUGUUAAUUGCUGAAAAACUAUCAAGCAAGAAACAAUUGUAAAGGUUAUAAUAGAUCGCAUUGGCGUAAAUAGGCAGGGGGUGUAAGUGUUAUAUAGCAUUGAGCUACCCUGUACUAAUCCUUUUACUAAUCCUUUUACUAAUCCUUUUUAUUCG